rnacentral:rRNA from 1 species
UACGAGGGGAGCAAGCGUUAUUCGGAAUUACUGGGCGUAAAGGGCGCGUAGGCGGUUUAUUAAGUCAGUUGUUAAAGGCCAUGGCUUACCCAUGGAAAAGCAGUUGAUACUGGUAGACUAAGAGGACAAGAGAGAGAAGUGGAAUUCUCGGAGUAGCGGUAAAAUGCGUAGAUCUCGAGAGGAACACCGAUGGCGAAGGCAGCUUCUUGGCUUGUACCUGACGCUGAGGCGCGAAAGCGUGGGGAGCAAACAGGAUUAGAUACCCGCGUA